rnacentral:rRNA from 1 species
AUUGAACGCUGGCGGCAUGCCUUACACAUGCAAGUCGAACGGCAGCACGGGAGCAAUCCUGGUGGCGAGUGGCGAACGGGUGAGUAAAGCAUCGGAACGUGCCCAGUCGUGGGGGAUAACGUAGCGAAAGCUACGCUAAUACCGCAUACGAUCUGUGGAUGAAAGCGGGGGACCGUAAGGCCUCGCGCGAUUGGAGCGGCCGAUGUCAGGUUAGGUAGUUGGUGGGGUAAAGGCCCACCAAGCCGACGAUCUGUAGCUGGUCUGAGAGGACGACCAGCCACACUGGGACUGAGACACGGCCCAGACUCCUACGGGAGGCAGCAGUGGGGAAUUUUGGACAAUGGGCGCAAGCCUGAUCCAGCAAUGCCGCGUGCAGGAUGAAGGCCUUCGGGUUGUAAACUGCUUUUGUACGGAGCGAAAAGGCUUCCACUAAUACUGGGGGCUCAUGACGGUACCGUAAGAAUAAGCACCGGCUAACUACGUGCCAGCCGCCGCCGUAA